rnacentral:rRNA from 1 species
GAUGAACGCUGGCGGCGUGCCUAAUACAUGCAAGUCGAGCGAACAGACGAGGAGCUUGCUCCUCUGACGUUAGCGGCGGACGGGUGAGUAACACGUGGAUAACCUACCUAUAAGACUGGGAUAACUUCGGGAAACCGGAGCUAAUACCGGAUAAUAUAUUGAACCGCAUGGUUCAAUAGUGAAAGACGGUUUUGCUGUCACUUAUAGAUGGAUCCGCGGCGCAUUAGCUAGUUGGUAAGGUAAUGGCUUACCAAGGCAACGAUGAGGAGCCGACCUGGGAGGGUGAUCGGCCACACUGAAACUGAGACACGGUCCAGACUCCUACGGGAGGCAGCAGUAGGGAAUCUUCCGCAAUGGGCGAAAGCCUGACGGAGCAACGCCGCGUGAGUGAUGAAGGUCUUCGGAUCGUAAAACUCUGUUAUUAGGGAAGAACAAAUGUGUAAGUAACUAUGCACGUCUUGACGGUACCUAAUCAGAAAGCCACGGCUAACUACGUG